rnacentral:sRNA from 1 species
AUAGUAAGUGCCAGGGGAACCAAAUACUGGAUUCUUGUCUUGAGCCUUUUUAUGCAUCUGCUUCAGUUUUAGGUGUGGCUAGGGAAGGGAGCAGGCCUCAGGAAGGAACCAGCACUCUAAGACUGGCCUUUUUUUCCACUAGGUAGUUUUGCUGUCAGCCACAAUGCCUUCUGAUGUGCUUGAGGUGACCAAGAAGUUCAUGAGGGACCCCAUUCGGAUUCUUGUCAAGAAGGAAGAGUUGACCCUGGAGGGUAUCCGCCAGUUCUACAUCAACGUGGAACGAGAGGAGUGGAAGCUGGACACACUAUGUGACUUGUAUGAAACCCUGACCAUCACCCAGGCAGUCAUCUUCAUCAACACCCGGAGGAAGGUGGACUGGCUCACCGAGAAGAUGCAUGCUCGAGAUUUCACUGUAUCCGCCAUGGUGUGUUUGCCCGCUGCCAGCCUGUUGUGGGUCUGCCCGUCAGAAGUGUCCUACUUGAAGCCAGGGUUCCUGGAACCCAUGUGCCUACCUGGUCUGCUGCAUAUUUGUUUUCUCUUCCAGCAUGGAGAUAUGGACCAAAAGGAACGAGACGUGAUCAUGAGGGAGUUUCGUUCUGGCUCU